rnacentral:misc_RNA from 1 species
AACCAUUCUCACCUGCGGCUAGACCUGCGGAAGGAUCAUUAUUGAAUAAACUUGGUUGGGUUGUUGCUGGCUCCUUGGAGCAUGUGCACGCCUAGCACCAAUUUUUACCACCUGUGCACCAUUUGUGGACCUGGAUACCUCUCGAGGAAACUCGGUUGGAGGACUGCUGUGUGAAAGCCAGCUUUCCUUACAUUUCCGGUUCAUCUUUUCACAUACCCCAUACGAAUGUAUCAGACUGUU